rnacentral:RNase_P_RNA from 1 species
CGAGUUGGCCGGAUAGCCGCUGGCUCCCUCGGGAGCGAGAGGAAAGUCCGGGCUCCGAAGGACGAGGUGGUCGGUAACCCCGACCGGCCGCGAGGCUCGGGAAAGUGCAACAGAAAGCAAACCGCCCACCUUCACCGGUGGGUAAGGGUGAAACGGUGCGGUAAGAGCGCACCAGCAGCCGAGGUGACUCGGCUGGCUAGGUAAACCCCGCCUGGAGCAAGGCCAAACAGGGAGGAGCUCCCUUGUGGAGCGCGGGUCGGUCCGGCCCGUUACCACUCCCGGGUAGGCUGCUGGAGGCGACGAGCAAUCGUCGCCGUAGAUAAAUGGCUAUCACUCGCCCUCGGGCGAGGACAGAACCCGGCUUACACGCCAACUCGCCGC